UACAGAGGGCUCAAGCGUUGUUCGGAUUCAUUGGGCGUAAAGGGUGCGUAGGCGGCUCGGUAAGUCGGGGGUGAAAUCUCGGAGCUUAACUCCGAAACUGCAUUCGAUACUGCCGUGCUUGAGGACUGGAGAGGAGACUGGAAUUUACGGUGUAGCGGUGAAAUGCGUAGAUAUCGGAAGGAAGACCAGUGGCGAAGGCGGGUCUCUGGACAGUUCCUGACGCUGAGGCACGAAGGUCAGGGGAGCAAACGGG
rnacentral:rRNA from 1 species